rnacentral:misc_RNA from 1 species
CCGAGUAUCGGGCCUCAGCGCCCGCACUCCAACCCUCUGUGUACCAACUUUGUUGCUUUGGCGGGCCCGCGGUGUAAUGCCGCUACCGGCUCAUGGCUGGUCAGUGCCCGCCAGAGGACCGUUAAACUCUUGUUUAAACAGUGUAGUCUGAGCGAAAUUUAACAGUUA